rnacentral:tRNA from 4 species
GCUGGAGUAGCUCAGUUGGCAGAGCACGUCCUUGGUAAGGACGGGGUCACGAGUUCAAUUCUCGUCUCCAGCU